GGUUGCGUAUACCAUCCUUCCAAUCAGAAAAGAAGGGAAUCGUAAUAUAGUGAGCUUAAUAGUAUCCAGGGCCGGCUUAGAUAGGGGGCAAGUUGUGCCACCGUCCCAGGCCCAAUUCGUUGCUCCCUAUUUUUUUUAAUAAAUAAGGAUUCGAUUUUUUUUUAAAAAGGACAUGUACUUUUUAUAUCUAUCUAUCUAUAUAUAUAAAAUACAGAUUCCUUUCCUCCCAGGGUGUCCACGUCGCCAUCCACGUCAUCAAUUCGUUCAAUGUCGUGCCGACACCUGUCCAGCUUAAUUAAACGCAGAGCUUCAUUUAUUUGGACACCGUAUGGGCUUACGUUUAUUAUGUGUAUGUCCAAUGAUAAUGGGCUUAAGUUCAUAUUUUGAUUACGACCCAACGAACCUCUCAAACGGCAUCAAUCCUAACCUCUGUUCUUCGUUACUCUGAGUUCGGCGGCGAGGAUGACGAACGAUUGUCCUGGAUGUUUCUGUAAUGGAACGCUUUAUGAAUUCUACGACUUUAUUCACAUUAAUACAAACGCCCACUAAGACCCCUUCAAUGCGUCGUUUCCGUCGGCGAAAUCUCUAAUCUAUGUAUAAAUAGGUUAGUAUUUCUCCUCUGGAGAUCGCGAUCUCUUCAUCUCUCUGAAAAAGGCAGCGUCUUGUGGGGUUAACAAGCUGUCCGUCGGCAAGUAGGUGAGGCCAGCGACCAUUGGCAUUACCCGGAGCAACCACAACUUCAAGCUUUCUGACUAUACAAUGUCCAUACGCUUCUGGGUAUUCUCAAACUUUGGAUAUCAAUUUUUUUUCCAUUCUAAUCUCUAUGGAGGAUUGAGGGUAUGAUUUGAUCAUGUGUUUAGAUCGAUCUAUUUUUUUUUCAUUCUAAUCUCUAUGGAGGAUUAAGGGUAUGAUUUGAUCAUGUGUUUACAUCGGUUAUCUAGAAUAGCGUUGCCAAUAUCUGAUAAACUACAAGUGUGGUCAGUUCCUUUACUUUUUAGGAUAAACUUCAUAAGUUUCUGUAAGAAAAAUCACUAACCUAAUCCAAUUGUACAUGUCGUUCUUUGUCAGCACUUGGAAAUGUUGAAAAGGCUUCAAAAGAGAGCUUUGUUGCAGAAACUCCAAAUCUAAUGACCACUUUUUGUGCAAACUGAUAAAUGUAGAGCUAUGGUUAGCAGCUAGGCUCCCAUAUUUGAUGGUGAUUACUGGCCAGGCACAGCAAAAGAAGAUGGUAGAAAGGACAUUAAGUAAGGACUGAUCUUUCUGGGCAGACUGAUCUUUCUGGGAAGGCAUUCAAAAAUCAGUUGCUAAUGCUUAAAGUAAUCUGUACUUUCUAUGAAUUAUACUAUCUCUUUAUUAGUUUGUUCUCCUUUUGCCUUUGUUUCCAGCUCGGUGAGACCAUUCGAAUGAGGACUUUCUCAUGGUCCACUUGCAGCCUUCUUACACACAUUGCUUAUGGUGAUGGUAUCUGGAAUCGUUGGGUCAGUAGUCAGUGCAAACAUUUUCAGAUUUGUGAUAAGUGUUAUGAGGCUGAACAGAUGCAUGAAGACAUGGAAAGUCACAUCUGUCUGAUCUUCAAGACCAAUUCCACUGCAGAUUCUUUGCAUGCCGACAAAUUUGCUGCUCUCGGUAGAUCUCGGGUUCAUCUGAUUUCUUUUUUUUUCCCUACUAAAUAUGGGUUUUCAUUUGGUUUCAUUAGUUAGGGUUCCUCUUCUUUGGCAUAUUUGUAUUUUCAACGGAUCAAAGACAUCCCACUAAAAAGAGAUGUAUCUUUUUAUUUCUUUAAAGUUUGAUAGCAUUUCAGCUCUAUAAAAAAAGACAGGGAAAGAUAUCAUGUCUCACAAAAAAUAGAUGUAUCUUUUUAUUU